AGCAGCCGCGGUAAUUCCAGCUCCAAUAGCGUAUAUUAAAGUUGUUGCAGUUAAAAAGCUCGUAGUUGAAUUUCGGGGUUAGUAGGUUGGUCGUGCCUCUGGUAUGUACUCGCCUUACUGAUUCCUCCUUCUUGAAGAACUGUAAUGCCAUUAAUUUGGUGUUGCAGGGAAACAGGACUGUUACUUUGAAAAAAUUAGAGUGUUUAAAGCAGGCCGAUGCCUGAAUACAUUAGCAUGGAAUAAUGAAAUAGGACGUUGAUCCUAUUUUGUUGGUUUCUAGGAUUGACGUAAUGAUUAAUAGGGAUAGUUGGGGGCAUUAGUAUUCAAUUGUCAGAGGUGAAAUUCUUGGAUUUAUUGAAGACUAACUACUGCGAAAGCAUUUGCCAAGGAUGUUUUCAUUAAUCAAGAACGAAAGUUAGGGGAUCGAAGACGAUUAGAUACCGUCGUAGUCUUAACCAUAAACUAUGCCGACUAGGGAUCGGAUGAUGUUAAUUUUUAAUGACUCAUUCGGCGCCUUACG
rnacentral:rRNA from 1 species